AACGAACGCUGGCGGCAUGCCUAACACAUGCAAGUCGAACGAGACCUUCGGGUCUAGUGGCGCACGGGUGCGUAACGCGUGGGAAUCUGCCCUUAGGUUCGGAAUAACUCUCCGAAAGGGGUGCUAAUACCGGAUAAUGUCUUUGGACCAAAGAUUUAUCGCCUUUGGAUGGGCCCGCGUUGGAUUAGCUAGUUGGUAGGGUAAAAGCCUACCAAGGCGACGAUCCAUAGCUGGUCUGAGAGGAUGAUCAGCCACACUGGGACUGAGACACGGCCCAGACUCCUACGGGAGGCAGCAGUGGGGAAUAUUAGACAAUGGGCGAAAGCCUGAUCCAGCCAUGCCGCGUGAGUGAUGAAGGCCUUAGGGUUGUAAAGCUCUUUUACCCGGGAUGAUAAUGACGGUACCGGGAGAAGAAGCUCCGGCUAACUCCGUG
rnacentral:rRNA from 1 species